CUACGGACUUAGAAAACUGAGCCUUGAUAGAGAAAUCUUUCAAGUGACUGCUCUCAAACUCAGGGAAACCUAAAUCUGGUUACAGACAUGGCAAUCCUGAGCCAAGCCAAGGUGGUUAUAAGUCAUUUUUGACUUGUCCUUCGGUUAAUUAUCAAGAACAUAAGGACAAACAACAAAUGACAAGUGACUAGCUAGGAAGGUGCAGAGGCCCGACGGGAGCUACCCUAACGUAAAGUCGAGGGUAAAGGGAGGGUCCGAUUCUCAAAACCUUUCAAU
rnacentral:ncRNA from 1 species